rnacentral:rRNA from 1 species
CCAGACUCCUACGGGAGGCAGCAGUGGGGGAUAUUGCACAAUGGGGGAAACCCUGAUGCAGCGACGCCGCGUGAGCGAUGAAGUAUUUCGGUAUGUAAAGCUCUAUCAGCAGGGAAGAAGGAGGACGGUACCUGACUAAGAAGCCCCGGCUAACUACGUGCCAGCAGCCGCGGUAAUACGUAGGGGGCAAGCGUUAUCCGGAUUUACUGGGUGUAAAGGGGGCGCAGACGGCAGCGCAAGCCAGGAGUGAAAGCCCGGGGCCCAACCCCGGGACUGCAUUUGGAACUGUGCUGCUAGAGUGUCGGAGAGGCAGGCGGAAUUCCUAGUGUAGCGGUGAAAUGCGUAGAUAUUAGGAGGAACACCAGUGGCGAAGGCGGCCUGCUGGACGAUGACUGACGUUGAGGCUCGAAAGCGUGGGGAGCAAACAGGAUUAGAUACCCUAGUAC